UCUUAUGGAGGAGCAAAGAACCUUUCUUGAGACUGAACCCUGGUGAAGUUGCUAUGAA
rnacentral:miRNA from 1 species